UACGAAGGGGGCUAGCGUUGCUCGGAAUUACUGGGCGUAAGGGGCGCGUAGGCGGACAUUUAAGUCAGAGGUGAAAGCCCAGGGCUCAACCUUGGAAUUGCCUUUGAUACUGGAUGUCUUGAGUUCGGGAGAGGUGAGUGGAAUGCCGAGUGUAGAGGUGAAAUUCGUAGAUAUUCGGCGGAACACCAGUGGCGAAGGCGACUCACUGGCCCGAUACUGACGCUGAGGCGCGAAAGCGUGGGGAGCAAACAGG
rnacentral:rRNA from 1 species